GUCUUGACAGGUGAGUCUCACGUGUGGAGAUGUAGUGGGCUAGCCACUGCGGGAUACCCGCGGAGUGAAGUGUUCGAUGCUUGUCAAGACAGAUAGGUUGCGGGCAACUAGGGACAUAUUAGGGACAGCAGCAGUUGUAAUGGUAAAUAGCCAUUUUAGGGGGGACUGUUGUGGAAAUAAGGUCUACACAUAUUUCCUGGUUAAAGGAAAAUGUCUAUUUACUCAUUUUACAAUAUAUAUAUCUCACAUAUAAAGCUAAGUACACAUAUUUCAA